rnacentral:tRNA from 1 species
AGAAAGUUAGUCUAACCAAGACAGUUGAUUUCGACUCAACAGAUUAUAGCCAUACCCUAUAACUUUCUU